ACUACAAGAAAAUCUAUCGGACUCCGACGGAUUUACCGACGGACAUUAUUCCGUCUCUAUUCUACGACGAAAUUACCGACGGAAUACCGACGGAAAUGAGUUCUUUGAUAUACCAUCGGAAUUACCGACGGAAUUACGACGGAAAAUGGCGCGUUAAUUUCGCGGUCAAUCAACGACGGAAACAACGACGGAUUAACGACGGCACAUAUUAACGACGGAAAUUAUUCCGUCGCUGUUUCAAUUUUUAAAUUUUAUUUUCUGAAUUUUAAAGGAAAUAACGACGGAAUAGUGUUCGUCGUUGAUUUAACGACGGCGGUAACGACGGACAGACGUUAUACACAAAAAAUAACGACGGAAUGGUGUUUCCGUCGGUGGGCCCUAAUAAAACUAGGCCACGGGUUUCCCCCUUCUUCAAAAUUCAUUCAUAUUUGUAAAAGAGCUCGCCGCCCCUUCAUUCUCCAAAAUCGACGCCUCUUCCUCAAAUCGGACAAACGCCGCCGUUGGAGCUCGCCGAACCUGCGCGCCGCUGGAGAACGCCGUCGAUCGGGCCGAUUUCCCGCUGAGUUGUUCCCGGUGAAGGUUCGCAGCCGCCGUCCUCUGUUUCGUCUGUAGCGCUCCUCCGCCGGCAGGCUCUCUUCUCCGCCACGACGCCGACUCCGCCACCACACCGUCGACAUCGUCCAUCAAUGUAAGCUUUCAGUUUAAUUUUUGAAUGUUUGGUUGAAUUUUUGAAUGUUUGGUUGAAGAACCGAUUUGUAUUUUUUUUUGAAGGGGAAUUCGGUUGAAGAAUCGAUUUGGAAACUUUUUAAAUCCUAAGUUGUUGAUUGUUGCUGUCGGAGAGUGCCGUGCGCUGGAGACUGCCGCCGGAGGCCGUCCUCCUCUGUUCUCGUCUGAAGAGCUCCGCCGCUGCUGUCGAAUACUCAUCUCCAUGUCAAAAUUGUUCUUCAAAAUACUCAAUUUCACCUUUACUUCUAUGGGAUGGCCCCGGUGGGGUGGGGUGGGUUCUUGAAAAUUGUUCUUCAAAAUACUCAAUUUCACCUUUACUUCAAAAUUGUUUUUAAAAUACAAUUUUCAAUUUCAAAUCAAAUUUUUCAAUUUCAAAUGCAUUAAGAAUUCUCAUCCAUUGCGUAUGGUAUAUAUGCUCCAGUAUAUCUUAAACUAAAUGUUUUUUAAUUCNUUGGUUUGAGAUUUGAGGAUGACUUCUAUAGUGGAUAAAAAAAUAAUUACAUUUUGGUUUAAAUGUUGGUUAUAUUUUUUUGCUUUAAGAUAAUUCUUUUGUUGAUUUGGAUUAAUUCUUAUUUGUAGUAUACCACUCCAUCCUUGAUUCUUGAGGAAUAAAGAAACUAGUCGAGGACAACAAGAAAAAAGAACGAGUAAAAAACAAGUAAGUUUUCAUGUCAUUAUCUUUUUUUUUGCUACUAUGGCUCAAAUAUUUUGAUUGUUGGUUUAAUUUCUAAUGUAAUUGAUGAACUAAUUCUUAUAUUCUAUACAUUCAUUGUACAUUUCUACAAAGUUUUUGUACUAAUUAAUUAUGAGUAUUCCUCCAGCUAAUAUAUAGCUUGUGGUGCAAAUGCUCGUUCUUUUUAUGCAAUUUUUGUACUCUUUUUUAGGCUAUAUUUUCUACUAUUACUGAGUUCUCAUUAUAUUAAGACUUCUUUUUGCUUAGUGUACUUGAUGUUAGCGCAGUACAGUUGGUUAUGUGUUGGAACUUAUACUUCACUUGUAUAGAUGAUGUUGGAGUAAUAUGUGUGACAAAAUUGAAUGUUACAAUAACACGUUGCUAUAGGACUAAUACUAAUAUUUUGGCUUGUCAGGAUGUCUUUGUUGGUAUGAAGCUCAUGCAGAUUGGAGGAUUGACCUUGGCUAGAGCAAGAAUGGAGGAAGGAAGAAUCCACAAUCCACCCCCAAAUUAGAUAUUACUGUAUUCCCUUCACCAUAUAAUAUUUGUUGUUUUUUCAUGUGUUUUGCUAGGAAUGUUAGUUUUAAAAUUUUAUUAAAUAUUAUUGAUUUGGUGUUUUGUAAUAUUGAUGUAUUGCAAAUAUA
rnacentral:lncRNA from 1 species